rnacentral:sRNA from 23 species
GGGACGGGCCUUUCAGGCAUCCUCUCCCAAACUUUUCAGGGCCGCCCGGCAACGGUGCGGCCCAUUUUUUUGCGCUUC